UACGUAGGCAGCAAGCGUUGUUCGGAAUCACUGGGCUUAAAGCGCGUGUAGGCGGGGUGGCACGUCCGUCGCUGAAAUCCCCCGGCUCAACCGGGGAACGGGCGCGGAUACGACCAUCCUCGAGGGACGUAGGGGGACCUGGAACUUCCGGUGGAGCGGUGAAAUGCGUUGAGAUCGGAAGGAACGCCCGUGGCGAAAGCGAGGUCCUGGACGUCUGCUGACGCUGAGACGCGAAAGCCAGGGGAGCGAACGGG
rnacentral:rRNA from 1 species